CAGCUCUGAUUUAAUGAGCUGCAGCCUCAUUCUUUAUCCUCUCUGGCUUUUCAGGUAUUCUAGGAGAUUUUGGAUCCAGCUGCAAGGAUUUCCACUCAUUUAGCCACAGCAUUAUUGGUCAGGCCUGGCAUUACUAUGCAUCUCUAAGUGGGCUUCAUCCAGCCUUUGGGUAGAGGUACAGAGCAGGGCAGUGUGUGUGGUGUAUCUGCUUGUCUGGAUAAAACUGGAGGUUGUGGGUUUGAAUUCGGAAGAUGUGGGUCACACCUCCGUCUGCAGGUCCAUGAUCUCCUGGCCUACCAGAGGGAUGGUCGCGCUGUUCUUCUCCCACUCCACCGUCUGCAACUCCAGAGGGGACGCCGCCACCGUCUCCAGGUCCUUCCUCACCCAGGAGGGAGGGGAGUGGGUCUUCCUGAUGCCCUCCCACGCCCUCUUACUCGGGGUCUGCUGCUUGUCCUGAAGAGAAGAAGACAGAGAGGACGCUUGUUUCUGAGACAGCCAUAAACUCCAGGAUGUAUUUCUGAAGCCAUGCUGAGAGUUCUCAUGGUGAGCCGAUGUUACCUGUCUGUCUUUCCUAGUUGGACUUUUGGAAAACUAAGCUCCUUAAGAGUUUCUAUACGUCCUUGGAUGCUGCAUCUCAAACUGCACUCUGCACAGAUCUUAAAUCAGACGUCCUGAGAUUAAAGCUGCAUCCCGCUCUGUGCAGGAAACACUCUAAACUUUGUUUUAAUGAACGUGUUAUCCUUGUUUCUUUUCUUUUAAUGACAUCUAGCGUUAAACCUUUUUACACAUAAUGCAUUGUAAACAAUCUUUGAGACCUCUGCUGUGAUAUUGCAGAGGGUGGACGCCCCUCGUAGUGACACUGGGAAUACUUCUGGCGUUAUACAUGCAAGGAAAAAAGGGAAAGGAAGACUUGUGCUUGAGCUUAAAGAGAAACUGAACUGCUCUUUCUUCUCCUUUAAAUGUUCCUAAUGUUCACAGUGUCUGUUGGUGACUCUGCAGAGCACUUUGAAUUGCUCUAUGCUUCAUGUAAACUACCUUUCCUUUUUUUGUUUGUCAUCCAGGGCGCUGUUAUUUUUCUCGCUCCUCUCUAGGAGUCAGUUUUAGUUCAGACCCUGUUGGAUUGAUGAAAUCCUGUAAGAUCCUGUACGACUGAAAGUUUCAAUCAACAGCUCUAAGCUCUCUGGGGAUUUUGAUUUUCAACCUUUAUUAUGAACAUGCAAGCUGACGGCAUGACGAUGUGACCUAUGUUUGCAUCAUUUCAAUGUAAACUAAAACUUGAAUUAACUUGAAAUGAUGAAAU